CCUACGGGUGGCUGCAGUGGGGAAUAUUGCACAAUGGGGGAAACCCUGAUGCAGCAACGCCGCGUGAAGGAAGACGGUUUUCGGAUUGUAAACUUCUGUUCUUAGGGAAGAAGAAUGACGGUAGCUAAGGAGCAAGCCACGGCUAACUACGGGACAGCAGCCGCGGUAAUACGUAGGUGGCAAGCGUUGUCCGGAAUUACUGGGUGUAAAGGGAGCGCAGGCGGGAAGCCAAGUCAGCUGUGAAAACUACGGGCUUAACGUGUAGACUGCAGUUGAAACUGGUUUUCUUGAGUGAAGGAGAGGUGGGCGGAAUGCGUGGUGUAGCGGUGAAAUGCGUAGAUAUUCGGAGGAACACCGGUGGCGAAGGCGGCUUACGGGCCCGUAACUGACGUUGAGGCUCGAAAGCGUGGGGAGCAAACAGGAUUAGAUACCCUUGUAGUC
rnacentral:rRNA from 1 species